GGCUGCAGAGAAGGAGCUCUCAGCUGUCAAGGAGAGGGCGUGGGCGCUCAUGGAGGAAAAGGACGCUCAGCUGCAGGCUGCCAAGGUGGGACGGAAAAGCAUCCUGGCACUUUCAACCUUGUUGCAGGUUCUUAAUGUAAGUCGUCCCAGUAUCAUUGCCUGGUGCCAUGGGAUUGUAAAUUGUGCUAGUGCAUUUUCUGCAGGGGUUGAAGAUUCUCAGGCCUGCAGAAUAUCCUGCCGAAGUGGACUCCCCACUUCCGCUGUCUCACUCAGCAUCAACAUCCACUGUGCAAGACGCUCUUGCGCAGGGUGCCCAAAUUUCCGAAGCAGGUCAAGAGCUCAGGGCAAGCGAUAACGGCAACCCAACAGCAGGGGUGCUGUCUCAGGAGGAACAGG
rnacentral:lncRNA from 1 species